rnacentral:miRNA from 1 species
CCCCCGCUCGGCGUCUCCCGUC